CAAUCUUCUUUUUUCUCCACUGUUCCAUUUUGGUGCUUUUCUAUUUCGAACAACAUACUCUGGAAGAUUUCUUGAACACACUAAGUAACACAAGGAARCAAGACAAUAUGUUAGUUCAAUUCAAAGAAACCUAACCAAAGAAUAAAAUCGAUUCCAGYCCAAUCAAAAAUAUGCAAGCAGCAUAAUUUGCACAUUAACWUUGAACUUACACUAUUCUCUUUUGCAGAGGCUUCAAAAAAAGCAGCUUUCCAGGAAUCAGCAACAACUUUACCAGAUUCUGUACUGACAACCCUGUGAGAAAUAAACAUUGUAUUCCAUGAAAGAACAUCAGAUGUCAUUGAAGUUUUUGUAAGCAACCAAAAAGGUUAAACUAAGGAGGGCUAAUCAGAGAGGGCAGGUACAACUACAAAGUCAUGGUGGAUGCAUGGAUGCUACUGAUCACUUUAGCCUGCUACAUCAACCUAACAUUAUACAGCAACCAUUUGGUAAAUUCUGGUAGAGAUUAUUCAAAGACAGUCAAAUGGGAGUUUUGCCAAAGCAAUGAAUUUUGCURAUCAGCUAUAUAUUAUCAAUAUAGAUUAGAUUACCUGUCCAGCAGUGUCAACUAAUUCUAAGUUAAAUUCUUGUCCUUUGUAUUUAAUAUUCUUUGUAAAUGCUGAAAACAGUAAGUGCUUGAAAURAACUUAAUCUGUUUUGAAGUUCAGUCCAAACAGCACAGCAAGUUCAAUGCAAAUUACACUCUGUUCAAAGUCAACUUACUGUUUUCGAUGGUAGGAUCGUAUGAGUCUACAAACUGACCUUCUACAUACUGUAUGGUUAGUGAAGAUUUGCCUGUAAUAAAUUAUAUAAUUAAAGAUUGCUUAACCUCGUC